rnacentral:rRNA from 1 species
CACGUAGGGGGCGAGCGUUGUCCGGAAUUAUUGGGCGUAAAGAGCUCGUAGGCGGUGUGUCACGUCGGCCGUGAAAACCUGCAGCUUAACUGUGGGCGUGCGGUCGAUACGGGCAUCACUGGAGUUCGGCAGGGGAGACUGGAAUUCCUGGUGUAGCGGUGAAAUGCGCAGAUAUCAGGAGGAACACCGGUGGCGAAGGCGGGUCUCUGGACAGUUCCUGACGCUGAGGCACGAAGGCCAGGGGAGCAAACGGG